rnacentral:rRNA from 1 species
CAUCGUCAGCGAUCCUGGCAAUUGUGCGGUUCGCGAUGUCGGAGACUUCGGUCUCGCGGCACGCGUCCGUAUGAUUUAUUUGCCGGGUGUCGUCGUCGUGCACUUCUCCCCUAGUAGGACGUCGCGACCCGUUGGGUGUCGGUCUACGACCCGGGUGGGCGCCCGUCAUGUGUCACGCUUUACGGCGUCAUGUGGCAGACCCCCGGUUGUCUGACCAGCUGCCCGGCGGUACUCGCACGGUAUCGAGUCGCAAUUAUAUUGCGUCCGGCCCGCCGCAAGCGAGGCCAGUGUUCCCGGAUGCACGGACUUAGUGCCGUCACCGGGCCUGGCCAGCUGUUGGCCGGCGGUGUCCUAGGACUGGCUCAUAAUAUAUACCGGUCGGCGACGCUACUGCUUUGGGUACUUUCAGGACCCGUCUUGAAACACGGACCAAGGAGUCUAACAUGUGCGCGAGUCAUUGGGAUCUGUUAAGCCUAAAGGCGCAAUGAAAGUGAAGGUAGGCCUUGCGCCAACCGAGGGAGGAUGGGCCGCGUCACGAUGCGGUCCCGCACUCCCGGGGCGUCUCGUUCUCAUUGCGAGAAGAGGCG